rnacentral:lncRNA from 1 species
ACAAAUCUUACUUUAAAACAAAUUUGAUUUUAAUGAGAGGUACUAAUUGUUUUUAAAAGUGACAUGAUAUAACUGAUAGUUUUAUUAUUGACAACAUAUAUGAUACGUUUGGAUGACGUUUUUCAGCAAACAUAGACACUCAUUUUGGGAAUUAUUGUGCUCCUUUUUGCCCAGACAUUUUCGUUAAUUAGUAAGAGGCAGUAUUUACUAUUGUUGACAUUUUUACCUAUUAUGUCUGUUUGUUUUGUUAACACAUUGUUGUCAAUAUAAUGGAAUUGUAUGCGACUGUCAUACGUACGAAAAUACCUGUACCAAGUCAAGAAAAUGAUAUUUUUAAUGUAUUACUUUUUUCCUAUCUUUGUUGUUAAAUUUGUAGUUGAGCUGUCUC